UACGUAGGGUGCAAGCGUUGUUCGGAAUUACUGGGCGUAAAGGGCUCGUAGGCGGCCAACUAAGUCGGAUGUGAAAUCCCCAGGCUCAACUUGGGAACUGCAUCCGAUACUGGAUGGCUUGAAUCCGGGAGAGGGAUGCAGAAUUCCAGGUGUAGCGGUGAAAUGCGUAGAUAUCUGGAGGAAUACCGGUGGCGAAGGCGGCAUCCUGGACCGGCAUUGACGCUGAUGAGCGAAAGCUAGGGGAGCAAACGGG
rnacentral:rRNA from 1 species